rnacentral:lncRNA from 1 species
CCUCACCAACCCUAUUAAGGUUAUAAUGUUUAUAUCUUUGCAUAUGGCCAAACUGGAUCCGAAAAACACAUAUAAUGGUAACAUACUUUCUCAUUUCUAUAAAUUAUACAGUAUGUAUCUCAAAGAAUAUUAAGUAUUUAACAUAUAAUACAUUUGUUUUGUUAGUCGUCUAGGACCAAAGGAUCUUAUUGUAACGUCCAGGUUUUUCUACCAGGGUACACCCUAAAAUUUCAUUUCCCUUUUAAAAUUUACAAAUAGUUUUUUGUGUACACUAGCACGGUGGUAUAGAAGAAGUUAUCAUAAGGAUCAUAUUGGCCUCAAGUACAUGAUGUAGUCGGGCGUCAAAAUAAACUACCUGUAAAAUAGAUCAUCACAAAAACGUAAGACUCAUGACUUAGUGAAUAACAAUUAUAAUAACAUAAUCUCAUAGAUCAUAUAAAUCACAUAAUUAAACCGAACCACACCAAAAUUUUUAGUUUUUUGAAAAUUUAAAACCGCACCAUUGGUCUUAUGUUCGUUUUUGGUUUUUCGGUUAUUUUGCAGUUUUUCUGUUUUCGGUUUGGUUUUUGCUUACCCCUACGUCUUAUGGUAACACAUUAAUGAAUCUUACUCGACCUCGUAACUCUUGUACAACAUUAUAUUUCAUCCGCUAUAAUCUUCCGAGAACGACUUCCGAGUGCCAAAGUCCCCUAAAUGACACAAAAACACACAUAUUUAUACUCUACAGUGCCCUAUGUGGUGGCCAUAAGCAUGCCACAUCGUGGUGAUCAAGUAAAAUCCUGUUUCACCACAUGUCGCACUCUCCCACCACGUGUCUCGGUGACUCGCCUCAUACCACAUUGUGGUGAAUCUACUACCACGUCAUGGUGAUGAGAUAGACUCCGUCUAGCCACGUGUCGCUCUCCGGUUGACAUUUGUAUUGAUGAUUCACUCAUUGCCAUGUCGUGGCAAGCAUACAACCACAUUAUGGUGAUCAAGAGUGUGACCGUUCACUUGACUUAUAUUGACUUUCUCAAAAUAGCAAUGCACUUUCAUCUUAAUCUUCAAUACGGUCAUAAAUUUCUCACACGAACUCCGUUUUCGAUGAUAAUUAUAUCCACAAAAUCAUCUCAACAAGAUCUAGAACACUCCUUUGUUAUCUUUUGCUAAAUAACAUUUCUCAAUUUAAAGCAACACUAGUUUUUAUUUCAUCUCUUAUCUCAUAACCACUUGAAUUCUCCGGAAAUCAGUAGACAGGUACCGACACAGGUUUUGUGAAGACGAAGCAUAGCAAUGUUAUGUAUUAUAUUUUUGCCAUAUGUUUUUGGAGUCAAACAAACAAUGAUUCGAACUAAAUGUAAAUAUUAAAUUAUCAAUACAACAUUUGUAAUGUUUUUAUCUCUAUUAUGCAAUUGUUAUGAUACUGUACAUGACGUCAUCUGCCCCCGGACGUUUCCGCCGUUUUAUCUAUUCGGGGGUGUGACAUAAGGCUUGAAUUUUUCCACAUUAGUAUGUAUAAAAGGAUGGCAUUACUAGUAAGAAAAGGUUGUUAUUUUGGUGCAUUCCACUCCUUCUCUUGGAUUCCAUUUCCAUGAAUUUGGAUCCCUUAUCCCUCUUUUUUUUCUUGCAAUUUGGUUCUAGAUUUUAAUGUUCAUAAGUUGCUUCUCGUUAAGGCUUAUUUGGUAUAAAUCUUAAUGGAUUAAGAACAAAUAAUUAAAAGUGAAGUAUUAAUCAUCUAUUACUGAUUAAUGAUAUCCAAUGAAAGUGUCAGACCGUGCAAAUGUUUUUAUCAUGUGAUUAUAAUAAAGACCCAUGGCCACGAUACAAUGACUAGUACAAUGAGUCACUCUACCUAAAAAACCAAAUAAUGUAAAAAUUAAUGCCUUGCAACAAUGUAAAACUAUAAUCUUUGUAAACAUUAUCAUUUUUUUCAUAUUGCAUAUGUAUCUCCUUUAAUGCAAAAUAAGAUAUAUGACACAAAAGCUUUCUAAAAAUGGGCACAUUAUUAGAUUUUGUGAGUUGCAAGUUUCACUUUAAUCGUGUUGAAUUCAUGUCUGAUUGCAAUAAAAAUAUUUUUUUGACUACUUUGAAAGACACCCAUGGAUAUUUGUAUAGACAAUAUGUGUUUGGUGUUAACAUCUUCACACCUUGAAAAUAAUCGAUAUAAUGAUGGAUGCACAAAGAUAUCGGUAGAAGGUUUAUGGUUGUAAGUCAACUUGUUUUCCUUAUGUAACCCUAGAUCCAUCAUUUCUCUUCAUACGUACAAUUUGGAAGGGGAAUUUGAUCAAACGAGAUCCGUUGUUCUUCCUUUUAUCUCAAAUACACAAUCUAUUUACGUAUAAAUCAACAUGAUCACAUUGCAACGUGACAUAUUUGUAUUUUCUUGAAUCCCAAAUAAAUACUCAAUAUCCUUUAGUGACUCUUUAGUAAUUGAUCAUAUGAUUUAGAUUUGGAGUUAACUAAAUCGAAUUCUUCGUUUUAUAUCAUAGAACUUGAUAAAUCUAUUCCUCCUGUUGAAUCAAUUUUAAAACAAUCAUACUUCACAUUCAAGAACCAAACACAUGGUUUUAACAUAAUAAUAAUUAAUAUAUUAACACAUUGUUUUAAAAGAAUGAAAACCAACCAUAAUAUUUCGAGUUUUUUUUUUGUCCCUCACCAACCCUAUUAAGGUUAUAAUGUUUAUAUCUUUGCAUAUGGCCAAACUAGAUCCGAAAAACACAUAUAAUGGUAACAUACUUUCUCAUUUCUAUAAAUUAUACAGUAUGUAUCUCAAAGAAUAUUAAGUAUUUAACAUAUAAUACAUUUGUUUAGUUAGUCGUCUAGGACCAAAGGAUCUUAUUGUAACGUCCAGGUUUGUCUACCAGGGUACACCCUAAAAUUUCAUUUCUCUUCUAAAAUUUACAAAUAGUUUUUUGUGUACACUAGCACGGUGGUAUAGAAGAAGUUAUCAUAAGGAUCAUAUUGGCCUCAAGUACAUGAUGUAGUCCGGCGUCAAAAUAAACUACAUGUAAAAUAGAUCAUCACAAAAAUGUAAGCCUCAUGACUUAGUGAAUAACAAUUAUAAUAACGUAAUCUCAUAGAUCAUAUAAAUCACAUAAUUAAACCGAACCAUACCAAAAUUUUUAGUUUUUUGAAAAUUUAAAACCACACCAUUGGUCUUAUGUUCGUUUUUGGUUUUUCGGUUAUUUUGCAGUUUUUCUGUUAUCUGUUUGGUUUUUGCUUACCCUUACGUCUUAUGGUAACACAUCAAUGAAUCUCGUAGUCGACCUCGUGUCUCUUGUACAACAUUAUAUUUCAUCCGCUAUAAUCUUCCAAGAACGACUUACGAGUGCCAAAGUCCCCUAUAUGACACAAAAACACACAUAUUUAUACUCUAUAGUGCCCCACGUGGUGGCCAUAAGCAUGCCACAUCGUGGUGAUCAAGUAAAAUCCUGUUUCACCACAUGUCGCACUCUCCCACCACGUGUCUCGGUGACUCGCCUCAUACCACAUUGUGGUGAAUCUACUACCACGUUGUGGUGAUGAGAUAGACUCCGUCUAGCCACGUGUCGCUCUCCGGUUGACAUGUGUAUUGAUGAUUCACUCAUUGCCAUGUCGUGGCAAGCAUACAACCACAUUGUGGUGGUCAAGAGUGUGACCGUUCACUUGACUUCUGUUGACUUUCUCAAAAUAGCAAUGCACUUUCAUCUAAAUCUUCAAUACGGUCAUAAAUUUCUCAUACGAACUCCGUUUUCGAUGAUAAUUAUAUCCACAAAAUCAUCUCAACAAGAUCUAAAACACUCCUUAAUUAUCUUUUGCUAAACAACAUUUCUCAAUUUAAAGCACCUCAAAGUUUUAUUUCAUCUCUUAUCUCAUAAAAUUUACGCCCCGUAAAAUAAUACAUGUUACGAAAAACCAAGUGUUACACUUAUAGAGACUAGUCAAGAAGUCAAACUAAAAAUGUAUUAUUUUCCUCUAAGGAUAUACAAAACAUAUACUUUUCAUUCAAUAAAUUUAACAUGUAAUCCAUUUGCUUGUUAUUUAACAUAUAAUUCAUUUUAGUGGUCUAGUUACGGAGAGUUUAAAAAAAAAAAAAAGAUAUCGUUUUUUUCCAAUUGUUAUAUUAAAUGUUUGCAUCGAAACAAAAACAUUUUUAUUGUCUGCUUCCUUAAUAUGAUAUUAUAUUAGAAAUUGGUAACAAUUCACGUGAUGGAUUCAAUGUUGUCUACAUGGAAUCAAUGUAUGAUGUUAUUAAUCUAAUGAAACUAGGGCACAAAAUCAUGUUGUUUUUGUAAUUGCAACUGUUUUAAAUGACCGUACUUUAAGCAAUAUACAUAGAAUUUGGAGUUACCGUUUGAGAGUCGGCUGAAAAAGAAGCGGCUGAAGAGCAACCUCAAAGGAGUGUAUGUUUCGUCGUGCGUGGUUUGGACUCCCGAGCCUAAUCAUGAGUUUUUUAGAAACAAAAAACUGAAAUUUCUCCCUAUUAAAUAAAUAGGUUAUAAUCGUCACUAUAUAAAUAACUAAACAUCAAAAUAUGCCGCGGAAAUAUAAGCGUCCUAAGUAUUAUAGACAAACAAGUCAAAUAUUUUACGAAGGGUGACGAUGUCGAUUCUUUGUUUUGUUUGUUAUGCCGUCCAAAACUAAGAUUCUGCGCACAAAGAGAUUGUUAGUGUCUUCUACACCUUUAUCUAGAAAAUGCUUUUAUGUCUUCCUAUGUAAACAAAUUGACAAGUGUUAUCAUCUCAUUGGCUGGCUGAUUUGGAUCCCCCAAUCACUUUAUCCAUUUAUAAUUCAUUACCAAAACUCUCCAC